rnacentral:rRNA from 1 species
AGUAACGCGUAGGUAACCUACCUCAUAGCGGGGGAUAACUAUUGGAAACGAUAGCUAAUACCGCAUAAGAGAGACUAACGCAUGUUAGUAAUUUAAAAGGGGCAAUUGCUCCACUAUGAGAUGGACCUGCGUUGUAUUAGCUAGUUGGUGAGGUAAAGGCUCACCAAGGCGACGAUACAUAGCCGACCUGAGAGGGUGAUCGGCCACACUGGAACUGAUACACGGUCCAG